rnacentral:tRNA from 1 species
ACUUAAGUAGUUUAAGAAAAAUUAUGAUUUGUGAUAUCAUAGAUAUAUUGAUGAAAAUUAUCUUAAGUU